rnacentral:rRNA from 1 species
AAAAAAUACCUCUUGGUUUGAGGACUGUCGUGCGCAAGCCGGCUUUCCUUGCANUUUCCAGUCUAUGUUUUAUAAUAUACACCUAAAGUAUGUUUCAGAAUGUCAUUUAAUGGGCAUAACUGCCUUUAAUUACCAUACAACUUUCAACAACGGAUCUCUUGGCUCUCGCAUCGAUGAAGAACGCAGCGAAAUGCGAUAAGUAAUGUGAAUUGCAGAAUUCAGUGAAUCAUCGAAUCUUUGAACGCACCUUGCGCUCCUUGGUAUUCCGAGGAGCAUGCCUGUUUGAGUGUCAUUAAAUUCUCAACCUUUUCAAUCUUUUAUUGGUUGAAUUAGGUUUGGAUGUGGGAGUCUUUCUGCUGGCUUCUUUAAGAGGUCGGCUCUCCUUAAAUUUAUUAGCAGGACCUUUGUUGCCCUCUCAGCGUUAGUGUGAUAAUUAUCUACGCUAUUUGCUGAAAGCAACUCAUAA